ensembl:lncRNA
UUUAACUAGCAUAGAAGUCAGGUGUUAGACAUCAACAGUAGGUGGCAAGAUGCUCCUAGUUUCUUUUCAACUAAAAAGCAACCAAAGGAAGCAACGCUCGGGAACACACCUGUUUUUAUACAGUCUAUGGAACAGAUAUUUCUCGGCAACGAGCAACGUGUUCAUCUCUCUGCAGGAAUUAUUUAAACAACGGAGAUUUAAUCACUUUAAUGGAGCUACUGUUAAAAAAGCGCAAAGAGAACACGAUGCCGAUUAAAGUGAUUUAAUUUUGGUGAAAUUGGCGGGAAAAAAAGAAAAAUAGUGAAGUUCAUUCACUUCCUUCAUGCACCAAAUGGAAGAAUUACAGCGAGGAGAGGGGUUUAGAAAGGUUAACAUUUCUUUAGUGUUGUGAAUGUGUUUUCCAUUAUUGUAGACAUUGUGAGCACUUGCUGAAUUUUAUGAAUUUAUGCAGAACAGUAGCCUAGCUUAUCAGAUCUCGGAAGAGAAACAAGCAGCUGAAUAUAAAAAAAGUGCAAAAUAAAACACUUGCUUCACGAACAUAUGAAGAAUUUUUUUUUAAAUCGAAAAUUGUAUUGAUAAAAAUAGAAAUUACAACCAAUUCUAAACUGCAGUUUGCUGGGUGGGAGUGGUCGGUCCAGGUGAAGACAGAAACACAGGAUAACAAUGAGAAACAACUAUGCGGAUUAAUGAUGACAUUUCGCAGAGUGUGAUCUUUAUUAUAAAGGGGGGACAUGGCAACAGCCUGCUGCAGCCUGUUGACUUGACGUCAUACGUGGGGCUAAGACACACUUAAUGAAGUUUGUCUGCAAUGCAAUCAAUGUAGGCUAUAUAACGGAAAAAGAAACCACACUGUUCCCCAAACCAAAUUCUAAUCAUAUGGAAACCAGCACUGGAGGUGGGAUAUUUGAGUGUCUGUGGAGGCCUCUGAGAAGAGUCUGGAGACUCCUGUGCUGCCAUGAACCUGGUGAUUCUGAAAUAAAACUUUCAGUGGAAGAAAGGACACCACUAUUCAGUGGUCAAAGCUCUGUCCAUCCAUGGUGAAGACCUCAAGAGGUUUUCUUCACUGAGGCGAGGUAACUGUGAAUUUAUCCUGGUUUUUGUUUGCAUGCUGAAAUGUGAUAAUGUGAAUGUCCUUUUUUUCCCUCGUCUUUUGAGAAAAAUGUCCUUUAAGUUUAGUUUAGUCCAUUUUCCUCUGGCUAAAAUGGCAUAUAAUUUAAAUAAAGAAAAAUAUAAUCUAAACA